rnacentral:misc_RNA from 1 species
GGAAGGAUCAUUAACAAAGUUAAUACACUAAUAACUAACUGAACCUGAUAGUGUGGGUGACUGCACUAUUCUUUGAACUACUUUGAUAAACAACAUAACUCAAUAUUGGUUGAUAAAACUUAAAUUUUCAACGAUGGAUGUCUUGGCUCCCAUAUCGAUGAAGAACGCAGCAAGAAUGCGAUAUGCAAUGUGAAUUGCAGAACCAUGAAUCAUCGGAUCUUUGAACGCAACUGGCGCUGAUUUACCUCAGCAUACUUGUUUCAGUGUGCGCAAACAACUACUCAAUCUAAAUGUGAGAGAAGUUCUCUCAUGAAGUACAUGCUCUCUGCAGCAGUCACAUUGAUUUGUGAGCUGUGGUGAAGACACUCGCCUUAU